CCCUUAGAUGUUCGGGGCCGCACGCGCGCUACACUGAAGGAAUCAGCACGUCUUUCUCCUUGUCCGAAAGGACUGGGUAACCCGCUGAACCUCCUUCGUGCUAGGGAUUGGGGCUUGUAAUUCUUCAUCUUCAACGAGGAAUGCCUAGUAAACGCAAGUCAUCAGCUUGCAUUGAUUACGUCCCUGCCCUUUGUACACACCGCCCGUCGCUCCUACCGAUUGAAUGAUCCGAUGAAUACCAUGGAUUGAGAGUACGAAUAGGUUCGCUUAUUUCUGCUGCUCGAGAAGUGGAGUAAAUCUUAUCAUUUAGAGGAAGGAGAAGUCGUAACA
rnacentral:rRNA from 1 species